rnacentral:lncRNA from 1 species
CGCAAAUCCAUUUCCCCUCCCUUCCCAGCCCUCCCAAGACGCGCCAGCGAGCGGGCUGGUGCUGCCCACCGGCCUUUGAUGCUCAGAAGGGGAACUGCGGGGACUGUUUAGACUCCCAGAAAGGACAGGAGUCUUCGCAUCAACUCACGGCCUGGGGUCAGGUAGGAGUUCGAGGUUUCGUUAAGUGAUUGCCUGGGAAGAGAAGAGAUAUUCUGCCGCCUAAUGGAGGGCUCUCUCUCAAGGGUGCUGUGGUGCUUUUCUCACUUGGUUGGUGGCAGCUGCUGGUGAGGGCAUGAGGAUAAAAGCAGGGAUCGUGAGGCCCCAGGUGAGGUCUGCUCAGCCCACCCCUCACUCUUUGACAGUUGACUCUUCUGGACAAAAAUCAAGUCAGAGCUGGGCCCCAGUUUCACAGGACACGUUGGACAAGUGAAUUUGCUGAGUCACACCCUCCUCUCACCCGUCUCCAGCUCUGCACCUCCCACCCAGGGGCUCCCUGACCCGGCUGCCUCCCCCACCCCACACAGUGUCGGUGUGAGCCUACAUUUGUGUGCAUUUGUGUGUGUUGAAAACCAAAAAGCUAACUUCAUCCUCCAAGAAGUAAAAAUUGGAUCAAUGCAGCUUGCACCUCCCCUAAUCAGAAGCUGUCAAUCCAGUGACCGCUGGUGAGGAAAGACUGGCCUCCUAUCUGGUGAGUCAGGAAUGGCCACGGUGGUCAGUUCAAGGGACCAGAGGACAAUUUUCUCGGGCUUUCCAGGGCCAAGUGGAGGAGCAUCAUCAGGGUGAAAAUCUGGAUGGGAAGCUGAUAACUCAGAGAAACAGACCUAACAGAGACACUGUGGGAGUCUGAGAGGCCUCCUUUUGCUGAGAGCAGAGGGCUUUAAGAGUCUUCUGGGCUCUGCUUGAGUUAUGUGUCUUCUGCCUGUGAAGCAUUUGACAGGUUUAAAUGCGUUAGACUGAGCGGGUUUGUUGUGAAAUGCAGUACACAUAUGCUGAGUAUUUUAGCAGAAUCAUAGUCACCAGGAAUGCCUUCUUCUGGUGUGAAAACACAAAUACUUCCUCCCUCCUUUGAUCACAAUUCCCAGCACAGAGACCUCUGGAUUUACAUAAAUGUAAAGAUGAAUUUGAAUGUCUAGGAAUCACACCCUACCAGAUUUCUCAGUUUUGUCUUUUUUGUGGAAGGUUCAGCACUCAAGGACUCUUUGAGAUGGAAGUGGCUACUGACACUAACGUCUCUGAGGACUUUCAUCAUUGUCCUCCCUGCCCAAAGGGUUACUCAGGAACAGCAGCACCAGCAUCCCUGGAAGCUUGUGGACGAGCAGAAUCUCAGCUCCAAACCAGACCCAAGGAAUCAGAGGCUGCAAUUUGACAAGACCUGCAGGUAGCUCACGAGCACGUGGAGGUUUGGGAAGCACUGUUCUUCAGCUCCGACAUGUGCCAGCCACUUCCCCCAAAGACAGCCAGCUCUUCGAAACUUUUCUACUCAUCAGCUAUCAUUGAGCUUUCUGAAGCAGCAUGUAGUAAGUCAGCCCCUUCUUUUCCAAGGAAACCUAUCACUUCACUCACCCCGUAAAUAUUUUUGGUGUGCCCACUUGGUGCUCAGUGUUUGCAGGGGAGGAAAGAUAAAUACGUGCAGAAGCAGUUCUGAAUCCCAUUAUUCCUCCUUCAGGCUCCCGAUUCAGUUGUUUCUCAAAUGAUACGGCGUUCAGACUCCUUUGUCAAUCUUCUUCAGCUCAUCCAGUUGUCAAAGUAAUUCUUUCAACAUUAAUUCAUUCAAAAAGAUUGAUUAAGUCCCUCUUAAAAUCUGGGAGUUAAGACCAUCCAUUUCAUUUUUCCUUUUUUCUUAACCAUAAGAUCCUGCAACCCCACUGCUGGAUAUUUAUCUAAAAGAAUUGAAAUCAGGAUCUUGAAAAGAUGCUAGCAUCUCAUGUUUACUGUAGCACUAUUCCCAAUAGCCAAGAUGUGGAAACAACCUAAAUAUCCACCAGCAGAUGAACGGAUAGAGAAAUUGUGGUAGGGGGCUGGCCCAGUGGCGCAGCGGUUAAGUGUGCACAUUCUGCUUCUCGGCGGCCCAGGGUUCACCAGUUUGGAUCCCAGGUGUGGACAUGGCACCACUUGACACGCGAUGCUGUGAUAGGAGUCCCAUGUAAAAAGUAGAGGAAGAUGGGCAUGGAGGUUAGCUCAGGGCCAGUCUUCCUCAGCAAAAAGAGGAGGAUUGGCAGUAGUUAGCUCAGGGCUAAUCUUCCUCAAAAAGGAAAGAAAGAAAGAAAGAAAUUGUGGUAUAUACAUGCAAUGGAAUAUUGUUCAACCUUAAAAAAGAGGGAAGUUCUACAAAUGAACUUUGAGGACGUUGUGCUAAAUAAAAUAAGCCAUCACAGAAGGACAAGUACUGCAUGACUCCACUUGCAUGAAAUAUCUCAAAUAUUCAAAUUCAUAGAAUCAAACAUUGGGAUGAUGGUUUCCAGG